ACAGAGUGGUUCUCCAUCCCCACCCCCAUUUCAGUUUAUCCCCGUUAGUGCCUCUCAGAUACUUAGACUACACUCUCCAUGUAUUCCUGGGCUGGAGGACCACAACUCCGUCUCUCAAGUCUGUAUUUAUAGAAGGGUGUGUCACAAAUCCAUUAGCGUUUCUGAAGUCCUGUAACUUGCUAACUAAAAUUGGAAAUCCUUUUGUAUUUUGACUUGUAGAUUGUUAUACCCUUCUCAAUGUAUUUUUUUUCUCACAUAUUUUCCAAGUAGGAUUAACAUAACCUAUUUAUCAUUCAGGAAUACUAGCUAUAAAUUAUGGGAUCCCGAAAGCUCGCAGGAAGAUACAGUACUGCAGUGGGACUCCUGCAGAGAAAGUACACAUUCCCUCUGGCCCUGGCCCUGGGGUGUGGGUGUUGCCUGUGGUGAUGGUGGUUCAGGAGGUAUGAUUUAGGGAGGCACCACACUGGGAAAACCAGCCAACCCAUUUAAAUUCUGGGGAGAAAAAGAAAAGAUGUACUGUUUUGAGCUUGGGUUAAAAAGACUGUCUUGCUUGCUCUCAUUGCUGGAAGCAUAAAGAGAUCAAUAAAGUUUUCUCUGCUUCUCUAAG
rnacentral:lncRNA from 1 species